rnacentral:rRNA from 1 species
AAUGAACGUUGGCGGCGUGGAUUAGGCAUGCAAGUCGAACGGGCUUGGUUUUCGGAUCAAGUCAGUGGCGCAAGGGUGAGUAAGGCGACGGCAACCAACCCCGAGGCCGGGCAUAGCCGCUCGAAAGGGCGGGUAAUUCCCGGCGGUCUUGCGAGGAGGCAUCUUCUUGCAAGUAAAGGUGUGAUUCCGCCUCGGGACGGGCCGUCGUGAUAUUAGGUUGUUGGCGGGGUAACGGCCCACCAAGCCUACGAUGUCUACCGGGCGUGCGAGCGUGGCCCGGCACACUGGGACUGAGACACUGCCCAGACACCUACGGGUGGCUGCAGUCGAGAAUCUUCGGCAAUGGGCGAAAGCCUGACCGAGCGACGCCGCGUGGAGGAUGAAGGCCUUCGGGUUGUAAACUCCUGUCGAGGGGGAACAAGGUUCUGCGAGGAGCAGAGCUUGAGUGAUCCCUGGAGGAAGCACGGGCUAAGUUCGUGCCAGCAGCCGCCGUAACAC